rnacentral:rRNA from 1 species
CAUAACCACUUGGCAAACAGGUGCUACUACCUGCAUAACAGUUUAUGCCGCAUGGCAUACAGAGUGAAAGGCGCUUCCGGGUGUCGCUUGACUGGCUGGACCCCGCGGUGCACUUAGCUAAGGUUGGUCGACAGGUACACGGCUCACCAAGGCCACGAUGCAUAGCCGACCUGAGAGGGUUGAUCGGCCACACUGGGACUGUAGACACGGCCCAGACUCCUACGGGAGGCAACAGUAGGGAAUCUUCGGCAAUGGACGAAAGUCUGACCGAGCAACGCCGCGUGAGUGAAGAAGGUUUUCGGAUCGUAAACUCUGUUGUUAGAGAAGAACAAGGACGUUAGUAACUGAACGUCCCCUGACGGUAUCUAACCAGAAAGCCACGGCUAACUACGUGCCAGCAGCCGCGGUAAUACGUAGGUGGCAAGCGUUGUCCGGAUUUAUUGGGCGUAAAGCGAGCGCAGGCGGUUUCUUAAGUCUGAUGUGAAAGCCCCCGGCUCAACCGGGGAGGGUCAUUGGAAACUGGGAGACUUGAGUGCAGAAGAGGAGAGUGGAAUUCCAUGUGUAGCGGUGAAAUGCGUAGAUAUAUGGAGGAACACCAGUGGCGAAGGCGGCUCUCUGGUCUGUAACUGACGCUGAGGCUCGAAAGCGUGGGGAGCAAACAGGAUUAGAUACCCUGGUAGUCCACGCCGUAAACGAUGAGUGCUAAGUGUUGGAGGGUUUCCGCCCUUCAGUGCUGCAGCAAACGCAUUAAGCACUCCGCCUGGGGAGUACGACC